rnacentral:tRNA from 2 species
GGGGAUGUAGCUCAACUGGGAGAGCGCUGCCCUUGCAAGGCAGAGGUUAGCGGUUCGAUCCCGCUCAUCUCCACCA